GCCUCUGUAGCUCAGUGGCAGAGCACUGGUCGUCGUGUAAACCAGGGGUCGUGAGUUCAAUCCUCACAGGAGGCA